rnacentral:rRNA from 1 species
AAUGAACGCUGGCGGCGUGGAUAAGACAUGCAAGUCGAACGAAAAAAGAGAGAGCUUGCUCUCAAUUUUUUAGUGGCGGACGGGUUAGUAACACGUGAGUAACUUGCCUCAGAGUGGGGGAUAGUCCUGGGAAACUGGGUUUAAUACCGCAUACGACCUUCGGGUUAAAGCUGGCUUCGGCUGGUGCUUUGAGAUAGGCUCGCGUCCUAUCAGCUAGUUGGUGAGGUAACAGCUCACCAAGGCAACGACGGGUAGUUGGUCUGAGAGGACGACCAGCAACACUGGAACUGAGACACGGUCCAGACACCUACGGGUGGCAGCAGUCGAGAAUCAUUCACAAUGGGGGCAACCCUGAUGGUGCAACGCCGCGUGGAGGACGAAGGCCCUAGGGUCGUAAACUCCUGUCAUAAUAGAGUAAGACUUUAGUCGUUAAAAAGCUU